rnacentral:rRNA from 1 species
GGGGAAUAUUGGACAAUGGGGGCAACCCUGAUCCAGCAAUGCCGCGUGAGUGAUGAAGGCCUUAGGGUUGUAAAGCUCUUUUGGCGGGGACGAUGAUGACGGUACCCGCAGAAUAAGCCCCGGCUAACUACGGGCCAGCAGCCGCGGUAAUACGUAGGGGGCGAGCGUUGUCCGGAUUUACUGGGCGUAAAGCGCGCGCAGGCGGUUCGUUAAGUCCGUUGUGAAAGCUCCCGGCUCAACUGGGAGAGGUCUUCGGAAACUGGCGGACUCGAGGGAGGCAGAGGAAGGUGGAAUUCCCGGUGUAGUGGUGAAAUGCGUAGAGAUCGGGAGGAACACCAGUGGCGAAGGCGGCCUUCUGGGCCUUUCCUGACGCUGAGGCGCGAAAGCGUGGGGAGCGAA